rnacentral:rRNA from 16 species
GGAUGCAAUCAUACCAGCACUAAAGCACCGGAUCCCAUCAGAAUUCCGAAGUUAAGCGUGCUUGGGCGAGAGUAGUACUAGGAUGGGUGACCUCCUGGGAAGUCCUCGUGUUGCAUUCU